rnacentral:misc_RNA from 1 species
UGGUGCUUGGGCCCUUCCAAGUUUUGUGUGUGAUUUUUACAUCGCCAUGGAUGUUACCUGUUCCACUUCUUCCAUAUUUAAUUUAGUUGCCAUUUCGAUAGAUAGAUAUAUUGCUGUAACUCAGCCCAUUAAAUACGCGAAACACCAAAGCAAUCGAAGGGUGUGGCUGACGAUAGCUCUUGUGUGGGUUAUUUCUGCAGCCAUCGGAUCUCCAAUAGUUUUAGGUCUUAAUAAUACACCAGACAGGGUUCCUGACGCUUGUCUCUUCUACAACAGCGACUUCAUUAUUUAUUCAAGCUUAUCCUCUUUUUAUAUCCCAUGUAUUAUAAUGGUUUUUCUCUACUAUAACAUAUUCAAGGCCCUGCGGAAACGAGCAAUAAAAGCAAAAAUGAACCGAAAACCCUUUCCUCGAGAUAUAAAACCUGGUUUCGUAAUAGAGAACGUGGCGAAUACGCGAAAGUUAGCGGAAACGGCGCUCGGACCGACUUCAACUAUUGACGAGCAAGUGACUAACACCGGGUCUGGGUCUGCCGAUGAGGAAGAUAAUGGAGUUGACCACGACUGCAGCGUUAUCGCCAACGAUAAAAGUACCGAAUUUAUUUUGGGAACUGUCGUCGAAGAAGCAGCAAUUACGACCGUUAUGGCAUCCCUAACCACACCAUCUCGACUAGGAGACCCGAAUGGAAAUAACGAUUCGGGUUAUGUACCGAGCCAAACAGAAAUUGUAACAGACAGUCCACGAAAGUCCAUUAUUCACACAAGAAGGAACGGUUCCACAAACGAAGCGGAAUUAAGGACCGUUUCGGCAGUUAUAAGCACCGAAAGUGACAACUGUCGAUCAACAGGAUCAAAGAAGGAGAAGAAAGCAUUAGCCGCGUCGAGGUUUACGAUCUAUAAAGUCAACAAGGCAAGCCGUAAAAAACGGGAAAAGUCGACGGCGAAAAAAGAAAGAAAAGCCACCAAAACAUUAGCGAUAGUAUUAGGAGUAUUUCUGUUCUGCUGGGUACCAUUCUUCACAUGCAACAUAAUGGACGCAAUGUGCAGCAAACUACAACUGACAUGUCAGCCAGGGGUAGCGGCAUUCCUGCUAACGACAUGAUGCUGUUUCAUCAACAAUUCAUGACACACUUACCCUAAAUUUUAUAUCUAAUAAACGGAUAAAUUGGCAUACUUGUAAGGAAGAAGUUAUUUUCAAAAUUGUAUUACGAAAAGGACACACGAUAUUUCAGUUGAUUGUCAGAUAAAUUGAUAAGUAUUGAAGUUAGUUUUGGAUACUACACGAAUAUCGCCAAAUGGAAUGGUGUGCAAUGAUGCAGUUCUUCCUACAUAUUUCGUUUGCUCUUCACUUUGAAACACCUUGAGAAUGUAUACCAUAAUUCUAUUAUCACAUUCUCUACUACGGAGACUAAAUUGAUUAAUGUUUAAAAAUUUUGUGAUGUAACAAUUUAUUUCACAAGAAUAUUAUCAAAACUCAACCCUGUGCAGUUGGGCAUUACAACGGUCAAUUCAUUCCAGAUAUUCCAGUGCCCUUUUUUGUCCAUUGAAAACGCAAACAUUAUAAUUGGCAAAUAAAUAAGAUAGAAUUCUUCUAUUCUGGACUAUAUUCUUGAUUAGCUGUUUUCGCCUUCAAUUUAAGCAAAUAAUUUUCAACCCUUCAAUGAGAACAACUGGAGAUUUAUUUGAAUUCAACUAAAACAAGUUUUCUGCUAUGAUAUUCCUCCUGGAUGUGGUUUGCUUUUCACACCAACAAACUUUGGAAUGUUAUAGUCUACAGUUC